rnacentral:rRNA from 1 species
GACGUAGGGCGCGAGCGUUGUCCGGAUUUAUUGGGCGUAAAGAGCUCGUAGGCGGCUUGUCGCGUCGUCCGUGAAAACCUGGGGCUCAACCCCAGGCUUGCGGUCGAUACGGGCAGGCUAGAGUUCGGUAGGGGAGAAUGGAAUUCCCGGUGUAGCGGUGAAAUGCGCAGAUAUCGGGAGGAACACCGGUGGCGAAGGCGGUUCUCUGGGCCUUACCUGACGCUGAGGAGCGAAAGCGUGGGGAGCGAACAGG